rnacentral:rRNA from 1 species
CAGUCGCCACGGUAAUACGUAGGGUGCGAGCGUUAAUCGGAAUUACUGGGCGUAAAGCGUGCGCAGGCGGUUCGUUAAGACAGAUGUGAAAUCCCCGGGCUUAACCUGGGAACUGCAUUUGUGACUGGCGAGCUAGAGUAUGGCAGAGGGGGGUAGAAUUCCACGUGUAGCAGUGAAAUGCGUAGAGAUGUGGAGGAAUACCGAUGGCGAAGGCAGCCCCCUGGGCCAAUACUGACGCUCAUGCACGAAAGCGUGGGGAGCAAACAGGAUUAGAUACCCGUGUAGUCCCUGUCUCUUAUAC